rnacentral:rRNA from 1 species
UUGACCCUCCCGUUCCACUAUUCACACGCAUGGCGAUCUCCGUCGCGCGCGUAAGAUCUUGUCCCCAAAUUGAACCGCCAAGCCCGUACUCUGAAUCGUCCACUCGGCCGAUGACAUCGUCAAUAUCGGUAUAUUUCAGCACGGGCAGGAUCAACCAGUUCGAUUAAGCCAUGCGAGUCGAGAGGUGCAAGACCUCGGCAUACUGCUCAGUAACACGUGGAUAAUCUAACCUGUGGAGGGGGAUAACCCCGGGAAACUGGGGAUAAUACCCCAUAGACUAUGGAUGUUGGAAUGCUCUAUAGCCGAAAGGUCCGCCGCCACAGGAUGAGUCUGCGGCCGAUUAGGUUGUUGUUGGGGUAACGGCCCAACAAGCCUGUAAUCGGUACGGGUUGUGGGAGCAAGAGCCCGGAGAUGGAUUCUGAGACACGAAUCCAGGCCCUACGGGGCGCAGCAGGCGCGAAAACUCUACAAUGCGGGAAACCGUGAUAGGGGAACUCCGAGUGCCCGUAAAUUCGGGCUGUUAAUCUGUGUAAGUAACAGGUUGAGAAAGGGCCGGGCAAGACCGGUGCCAGCCGCCGCGGUAAUACCGGCGGCUCGAGUGGUGGCCACUAUUACUGGGCUUAAAGCGUCCGUAGCUGGGUUAUUAAGUCUCUGGGGAAAUCCACCGGCUCAACCGAUGGGCGUCUCAGGGAUACUGGUAGCCUAGGGACCGGGAGAGGUGAGAGGUACUCCAGGGGUAGGAGUGAAAUCCUGUAAUCCUUGGGGGACCACCUGUGGCGAAGGCGUCUCACCAGAACGGCUCCGACAGUGAGGGACGAAAGCUGGGGGAGCAAACCGGAUUAGAUACCCGGGUAGUCCCAGCCGUAAACGAUGCGCGUUAGGUGUAUCGGUGACCACGAGUCACCGAGGUGCCGAAGGGAAACCGUGAAACGUGC